rnacentral:rRNA from 1 species
AACGAACGCUGGCGGCAUGCCUAACACAUGCAAGUCGAACGGGAUCCUAGCUUGCUAGGUGAGAGUGGCGGACGGGUGAGUAACACGUGGGAAUCUGCCUUUUGGUUCGGGAUAACCGCGGGAAACUGCGGCUAAUACCGAAUGCCCUCGAGAGAGGAAAGAUUUAUCGCCAGAAGAGGAGCCCGCGUCCGAUUAGGUAGUUGGUGGGGUAAAGGCCUACCAAGCCGACGAUCGGUAGCUGGUCUGAGAGGAUGAUCAGCCACACUGGGACUGAGAUACGGCCCAGACUCCUACGGGAGGCAGCAGUGGGGAAUAUUGGACAAUGGGGGCAACCCUGAUCCAGCAAUGCCGCGUGAGUGAUGAAGGCCUUAGGGUUGUAAA